AUCCAAGCUCAAAAGGAGUAGACAGCAUCACCCAUGCCACCUGGCAACACAAAAGGACAAAAUGACCACUGUGCUUGCAAGCAACCACCUGCCACACCACUCCUCUGGCCCAAACAGCCUCACCUCAGACCCUCAGAGGGAAGCACCUGAACGUCUUUCCCUUUGCUUCCGAUAAGGGAUGACCUCGCUGACAACACUCUCACCUUCCCUCACUGCUCCGUGACACGGGGAUUUCCCUGUCCAAGACUGCACUAGGCACCCGCAGAGACAAGAGAAAAGCACACCCUGAGGCACCUCACAACCACAGCGUACCUGCUGCAAUACCUCUCUUACCAGCUCCUUUACUUCAGCUGCUCACCAGCUCUAACAGAUUCUUCACUCACAGCUCCGCACCAAACUCUGCCCAGGCCACACAAAACACAC